rnacentral:misc_RNA from 1 species
CAGAUUCAUAUUACGAGUUAUGACUAUUAUUUACAGACAUUUACAAACUGUUCGCAGCCUGGAAGCUCUUCUCGACUCGGUAAUUUCUUGUACCUUCAAGUUGUACAACAUGCAGUAUUAACAAUAAUUGCCGGUAAAAAAUUGGAAACAAUCUUUACAUCAACCUUGAAAAAGUUUCUCUAGGCUUUUAUGAAAUUGUCUACAUUUCUACAUUCAGGAAAUUGUGAUAUUCAAGCUGAGUCAUCUCCCCACCACUUUCUGGGUCAAACUCACAUCGAUAGAAGCUUCCGUCCAUGCCAAUGAUUACAACUGUGUUCUUCUGAUGGCCAAAUGCAACAAAAUACUGCAAUCCUUCAGGUAAUCGAAACUGAGCCACUGACCACUCUGAGCUGAAAUACUUUGGCAAUACACCUUUCAAAAUGGAAAGAGAUGAAAUGCCUAAACCAUUAGAAUGGUUUGGUUCAGAUGCAACACGUGAUCUAUCAUUCGCCAAUAUCAUCAAACCUGAAUCAACCUUGAGGCUGAAUACAUGGACAGUUCCCUUCUCACUUGAGACAGCUAACCACUGAGCAUUAGAAGAGAAUGCAAGACUAUAUAUUUCAGCUCUAUCUGCACCUCUCCUAACCUCCUGCAGUAACGAGCCAUCCAAAGUAUUAAAGACCCUAAUCAAAGUGCCCUUACCCCGCAGUAGCCAAUAAUCUGCCAUCUUGAGUCAUAGUCAUACCCGCGAUCCUCGAAUCAUGUGCCAUAACGAACUUGGUUCUCUUCGACCCACAAUUCUCCACUCUAAUUUGCCCCUUUUGGAGGCCAGGGCAAACCAGCACCAUUGGCGAUGAAGUAUGGGAUAUUUCACACAACCCUUUUGGAUUCAAAACCGUCUCCAUUUGGUGCAGCAGCUCCAAGUCCGCAAAAUUGUACACAAAAAUUUUCUGAAGCAAUACAACAAUUAUCCUGUCCCGCCUCAGUUUCACGUUUUUUACCUCCGAUCGGAACGACAGCUCGCCGAUGCAUCGCGACUGAAAGUCGUCCCAAAUGAUUACCUUGGUCAUUGCAUAGAUGGGACCAGUACCACCACCGACCAAGCAUAGGAUAUUGCAGCGGAAUAGCAUGGCCACAAGGAAGAUUCCGUCCUGCGAGUCAAGGUCACGGCGGAAGAGGGGCUUGAAGGGAUCGGUAUUGUAGUAUACGGAAACCAUUAUCAAGGCCAGCAGCGAAGCAACCAUAAUCUUGGUUGAAGGAGAGAUGGUAGAUGGCUGGUGAUUGUUUGGGUUCUUGUGUGGGAUUAUGAGGGAGAAAUAGAGGGGCAAUAGAUGAGGAGGAGGAGGAGGAGGAGGACAUAGAUUCGCCGGGCUCAGAGUCGGAAUCCGGCGAGAUGUGGUGGGACUGAGCCAUGAAGGGGAAGAAGAAACUAGGAUUAUUAGGGUUUAGAGGAUACGGUGUUCAUUAGGUAGACGAGACGAC